rnacentral:rRNA from 1 species
CAGCCGCCGCGGUAAUACGAAGGGUGCAAGCGUUAAUCGGAAUUACUGGGCGUAAAGCGUGCGUAGGCGGUUUGUUAAGUCUGUUGUGAAAUCCCCGGGCUCAACCUGGGAAUGGCAAUGGAUACUGGCAAGCUAGAGUGUGUCAGAGGAUGGUGGAAUUCCCGGUGUAGCGGUGAAAUGCGUAGAGAUCGGGAGGAACAUCAGUGGCGAAGGCGGCCAUCUGCGACAACACUGACGCUGAGGCACGAAAGCGUGGGGAGCAAACAGGAUUAGAUACCCCUGUAGUCCCUGUCUCUUAUAA